GUGGUUUCGGUGGUGAUUAUGGUGGUGGAAACGGAGGGGGUUACGGUUUAGGAGGUGGUGUCGGAGGUGGUUUUGGCGGUGGUUCUGGCGGUGGUAUCGGUGGAGGUUUUGGACGUACUCAACAAUGCAAUUGUGCAAAGAAAUGUACCAAAGGGCAAAAGUACGUUGGUCGAUGUCCCUGGUGCCAGAAGGGAUGCCAACUAGUGUUUUGUUGCAACCGAGGAAAAUUCUAGAUCCAUGACGAAAGGAUCGACACGUCGGCUACACGCAAUACAAAAAGGAACCCUACAUUGACUUUGAGACUGAAGUAAAUGAUCUGAUUUUAUUUCACAAUAUUGUAUAUACCUGUAUUUGCAUAAUUAUAUUCUAAGCAUCUAU